rnacentral:rRNA from 1 species
CCAACCCAAUGUGAACCAUACCAAACUGUUGCCUCGGCGGGGUCACGCCCCGGGUGCGUCGCAGCCCCGGAACCAGGCGCCCGCCGGAGGGACCAACCAAACUCUUUUCUGUAGUCCCCUCGCGGACGUUAUUUCUUACAGCUCUGAGCAAAAAUUCAAAAUGAAUCAAAACUUUCAACAACGGAUCUCUUGGUUCUGGCAUCGAUGAAGAACGCAGCGAAAUGCGAUAAGUAAUGUGAAUUGCAGAAUUCAGUGAAUCAUCGAAUCUUUGAACGCACAUUGCGCCCGCCAGUAUUCUGGCGGGCAUGCCUGUCCGAGCGUCAUUUCAACCCUCGAACCCCUCCGGGGGGUCGGCGUUGGGGACCUCGGGAGCCCCUAAGACGGGAUCCCGGCCCCGAAAUACAGUGGCGGUCUCGCCGCAGCCUCUCCUGCGCAGUAGUUUGCACAACUCGCACCGGGAGCGCGGCGCGUCCACGUCCGUAAAACACCCAACUUCUGAAAUGUUGACCUCGGAUCAGGUAGGAAUACCCGCUGAACUUAAGCAUAUCAAUA